rnacentral:rRNA from 1 species
GUCCACGCCGUAAACGUUGGACACUAGGUGUGGCGGUCUGAUCAACGACUGCCGUGCCGAAGCUAACGCAUUAAGUGUCCCGCCUGGGGAGUACGGCCGCAAGGCUAAAACUCAAAGGAAUUGACGGGUCCCCGCACAAGCGGCGGAGCAUGCGGCUUAAUUCGAUGCAACCCGAAGAACCUUACCUGGGUUUGAAAUCAUGGGAAAAGCCGUGGAAACACGGUGUCCGUAAGGGCCCAUGACAGGUGGUGCAUGGCUGUCGU